GGGGAUUUAGCUCAGCGGCAUAAGCGCCUGCCUUGCAAGCAGGCAGUUGCAAGUUCAAGUUCAAUCCCCU
rnacentral:tRNA from 1 species